rnacentral:rRNA from 1 species
CUACGGGAUGCUCCAGUGGGGAAUAUUGCACAAUGGGCGCAAGCCUGAUGCAGCCAUGCCGCGUGUAUGAAGAAGGCCUUCGGGUUGUAAAGUACUUUCAGCGGGGAGGAAGGGAGUAAGGUUAAUACUUUUGCUCAUUGACGUUACCCGCAGAAGAAGCACCGGCUAACUCCGUGCCAGCAGCCGCGGUAAUACGGAGGGUGCAAGCGUUAAUCGGAAUUACUGGGCGUAAAGCGCGCGCAGGCGGUUUGUUAAGUCAGAUGUGAAAUCCCCGGGCUCAACCUGGGAACUGCAUCUGAUACUGGCAGGCUUGAGUCUCGUAGAGGGGGGUAGAAUUCCCGGUGUAGCGGUGAAAUGCGUAGAGAUCUGGAGGAAUACCGGUGGCGAAGGCGGCCCCCUGGACGAAGACUGACGCUCAGGUGCGAAAGCGUGGGGAGCAAACAGGAUUAGAUACCCUCGUAGUC